rnacentral:rRNA from 1 species
UACAGAGGUCUCGAGCGUUAGGCGGAAUUACUGGGCUUAAAGCGUGUGUAGGCGGCGGGCUAAGUACCUUGUGAAAUCCCACGGCUUAACUGUGGAACUGCUGGGUAUACUGGUUCGCUUGAGCGGUCUAGGGGCGAGCGGAACAAAUGGUGGAGCGGUGAAAUGCGUAGAUAUCAUUUGGAACGCCAACGGUGAAAACAGCUCGCUGGGGACCUGCUGACGCUGAGACACGAAAGCCAGGGGAGCGAACGGG